GUGACAAGCAUUCACUGUGAAUGGUAGGGCCUCUUCUUUUCUCCAGAGCUGUACUGGAGGAUUUACCCUGUUCCGAAGAUGGACAAAAGUCUUUAGAAUACCACCAGCAACUACAAAUGAAGCAUCUCAGGCAGUGAAACCCCCAAAAAACCACGGAACAGCUGGAAGACAGCACUGCAAGGACCACUCAGGGCUUCAGCAGCACGGGAUGACUUCACCCCUGUUCCCUUGGACCUCUCGUGGAUGAGCAGAAGGGCUGAGGGGAGGCUGAGGAAAACCAGCCCCAUUCCUGUGGGUGCAGCCCCUGCCUGCAGCAUCAGGGAGCAGCAGAUGGGAUGGGGAGGGAAGCCAAGGAGCUGCUGAGCCCGCUGAGGUGUUCCACAGUGAGACAGGCCUGGCCAGGAUCACCCAGGACAUGUGUCCCACCACCAAGGCAGUGGGGAUAGAAAUCCUUGCAGGGAGUGGGCAGGGAGCUGUCUGAACACAUGGAAAAGGAGCAUGAUCCCUGGGCUGGGGUUGUUGAUUAUGGCUAGAAA